rnacentral:rRNA from 1 species
AAUCAACGCUGGCGGCGCGCUUAACACAUGCAAGUCGAACGAGAAAGUCCGCAAGGAUGAGUACAGUGGCGUACGGGUGAGUAACACGUGGAUCAUCUACCUUUAGUGGGAGUACGUGGGAACGCCGACAAUACGCAUAAGCCCGAGAGGGGAAAGGACAGCAAUGCGCUGAAAGAAGGAGUCCGCGGUCGAUUAGCUAGUUGGUGAGGUAAAGGCUCACCAAGGCUGUGAUCGAUAGCCGGCCUGAGAGGGCGACACGGCCACACUGGCGACUGAAACAACGGGCCGAGACUCCUACGGGAGGGCAGCAGUGGGGAAGUCUUGCACAA